UGUUACUUGACAUUUUUCUA
rnacentral:miRNA from 1 species